rnacentral:rRNA from 1 species
CCUACGGGGGGCUGUAGUGGGGAAUAUUGGACAAUGGGGGCAACCCUGAUCCAGCCAUGCUGCGUGUGUGAAGAAGGCCCUCGGGUUGUAAAGCACUUUCAGUGAGGAAGAACGCCUGGUGGUUAAUACCCAUCAGGAAAGACAUCACUCACAGAAGAAGCACCGGCUAACUCCGUGCCAGCAGCCGCGGUAAUACGGAGGGUGCGAGCGUUAAUCGGAAUUACUGGGCGUAAAGCGCGCGUAGGUGGCUUGAUAAGCCGGUUGUGAAAGCCCCGGGCUCAACCUGGGAACGGCAUCCGGAACUGUCAAGCUAGAGUGCAGGAGAGGAAGGUAGAAUUCCCGGUGUAGCGGUGAAAUGCGUAGAGAUCGGGAGGAAUACCAGUGGCGAAGGCGGCCUUCUGGACUGACACUGACACUGAGGUGCGAAAGCGUGGGUAGCAAACAGGAUUAGAUACCCGGGUAGUC